rnacentral:sRNA from 1 species
UAAUCGAAUUCCUCCAGGACAACGUUGC